CAAUAGCGUAUAUUAAAGUUGUUGCAGUUAAAAAGCUCGUAGUUGGAUUUCUGGUUGAAGCGACCUGUCGGGCGUUGAUUCGUCUGCACUGGAGUCGGUUUUGGCCAUCCUCUAGGAAAGUGCGUCUGGUAUUAAGUUAUCGGGCGUAUGAUCCUGGUCUUUUACUGUGAAAAAAUUAGAGUGUUUAAAGCAGGCCUUCGCCUUGAAUACAUUAGCAUGGAAUAAUAAGAUAGGACUUUGGUCUAUUUUGUUGGUUUGCAGACCGAAGUAAUGAUUAAUAGGGAUAGUUGGGGGUAUUUAUAUUCCGAUGUCAGAGGUGAAAUUCUUAGAUUUUCGGAAGAUAAACUUAUGCGAAAGCAUUUACCAAGGAUGUUUUCAUUAA
rnacentral:rRNA from 1 species